AACGAACGCUGGCGGCAGGCUUAACACAUGCAAGUCGAACGCAUCGCAAGAUGAGUGGCAGACGGGUGAGUAACGCGAGGGAACAUACCCUUUUCUACGGAAUAGCUCUGGGAAACUGGAAUUAAUACCGUAUACGCCCUACGGGGGAAAGAUUUAUCGGGGAAGGAUUGGCCCGCGUUGGAUUAGCUAGUUGGUGGGGUAAAGGCCUACCAAGGCGACGAUCCAUAGCUGGUCUGAGAGGAUGAUCAGCCACAUUGGGACUGAGACACGGCCCAAACUCCUACGGGAGGCAGCAGUGGGGAAUAUUGGACAAUGGGCGCAAGCCUGAUCCAGCCAUGCCGCGUGAGUGAUGAAGGCCUUAGGGUUGUAAAGCUCUUUCACCGAUGAAGAUAAUGACGGUAGUCGGAGAAGAAGCCCCGGCUAACUUCGUGCCAGCCGCCGCGGUAAAAC
rnacentral:rRNA from 1 species